AGAUUGCCUAAGAACAAUCAACAACAUAUUGCUACAUUCCUGGAAGUCACCAUUAACAAGUAGGAAUAUCCAGCAAUAAAAUUUCAGUGGAACGCAUAAAUACAUUAGUGCACGUAUACAGUGGCCCUGUCUUCCUCUGCACUGGUGUGAUGGUGGCUGUGGCAUGACCCAGACCUGCUUUGCUCCCAGUGAUAAGGUCAGGAUAGAGGGGAACGUUAUGCAAGCAGCUAGCAUGCCCUUAUCUCAGCUAGCGGCUGCUGCUUCCAGCCCUCUGCAGCACCAGACUAGACUAGCCAUGUCAAAGAGAUCCGCCUAUCAGUGGCAUACAGGCUUUCCUCAGCAAAUAGAUACAGCAAGAGCACAGGGGAGAGCUUAAUUAGGAUUUUAACCAAGCAACUGAGCUCAAUGACAAAAUAACACAGUUUUCCAUAAGCACACAUGUUGAGCUAGCGGGAAGUGAGCAUAUUCUAAAAAGCGAAGGCUCCAAAAAUUCCCUGUUAGAAAGUUGAGGUAAAUGUAGCUUCUGAUGGUACACUAGCUGGUUUUACAUGGCCAUUCACUGGUUCAAAGUGAUCGACUAGACUGCUAACUUGUAAACCUGAUGUCGACCUUGAACUUGGACUCUGGCAGACCAGCAAUGGAAAAAAGGAACAAGGCUCGUGGUUUUCCUGCAAGGAAACCCAUCUGUCUAAUCAUUUUUUAGAUGACUGAUGUAGUUGCUCAAACUAACUCAAAGCUGAAAGCAUCUCUGGAACGGCUGUCUUGAGUUGUCUCAACCUCUGAGAUUAUGGUUUACCGAUUGUCUAAUGCAAAC